rnacentral:rRNA from 1 species
CGAAAGCCUGACGGAGCAAUGCCGCGUGAAGGAUGAAGGCCUGUGGGUCGUAAACUUCUUUUCUCAGAGAAGAAAUUUUGACGGUAUUUGAGGAAUAAGCAUCGGCUAACUCUGUGCCAGCAGCCGCGGUAAGACAGAGGAUGCAAGCGUUAUCCGGAAUGAUUGGGCGUAAAGCGUCUGUAGGUGGUUUGACAAGUCUCCUGUCAAAGAUCAGGGCUUAACCCUGGGCCGGCAGGAGAAACUAUCAGGCUAGAGUUCGGUAGGGGCAGAGGGAAUUCCCGGUGGAGCGGUGAAAUGCGUAGAUAUCGGGA